GCGGAAUUCGCCGGCGGCGAAUAAUAAUGCAGCCGAUGACGGCAUCAAAAUAGAUACCGGCCGGUAAAUUGUCGAAAUGGACGUGCGUCGACGACGCUACGCGGCGCGUCACGCAGCAGCGGGCGACGGUGACGACGCUCUUCCAGUGGGAGAAGCUGCUAAAAUUAGAGGUGCUCACGAGAGAGUAGAGUUGAGCCGCGCGUUUCACCGGCAUCAUCAUCAUCAUCCUCCUCCUCUUCUCCGGACGAGAACUCACUUCCGAGUAGUCCUCGGGACCGAUUGGACGAUAUCCCGCGUGUCGCUUAUCCGCUUAUCGCGGCGCGUUACCGCGAUCAUGGCGAUUCCUCGGGCACCUUCGGCACCGAUAAGCGCGCUCUCGUAGACGUCGACGUUAUCAUCGAGAGAGAGAGAGAGAGAGAGAGAGAGAGAGAGAGACGGCAGAAAGGAAGGAGAUGUCCGCGGUCCGAGAGAUCAUCGCCGGCCGAUCGUUAGCCGGAUUCUUCGUCUUCGCAGUGUGCAUCGUGUCACUGACGUCCGGUCUCGCGCAGAUCGCAGGGAGAAAGUGCGUGUGCACGAGCAAGGCCUGCAGGCAAACCGGAGCGGACGUGUGCAGCACCAGAUUCUCCUGCUACACCGAGUUCAUUUUGACAACGGGACAAGAGCUCGGUGAGAGCAUCACCACGAGAGGAUGCACCGAGAGUGCCACGCCGUUGCUGUGCGAGACCAAGUUUUGGGCUACGAGGUCGCGGUCGGCCAACAACGUGGAGCCACCGGCGAGCCUGUGGCUCCACGUGCCCUGGCUAAGGCUGGAGUGCUGCGACAGCCACGACUACUGCAACGCCGCCGACGACGACGGCGGCUCGAACGCGAGCACGUGGAUGGCCCAGAGGAAGCUGUUGGACCCGCCGCGCUCCGCGCUGAAUCUCGGCCCGCCGGAGAGCAGCUUGCCGGAGAAUCGCGACGCGACGCCGACGAUACGGGACGACCGGCAGCAUGAGGAUUCCGUGGAGCUCAGCAGCGAUCGAUUUCCGCGGGGCCGCGUCAAGGCGCUGCACGUCGCCGCCCUCGUCCUCGCCGUCGCGGCCCUCAUAUCCGUCCUGGCGUCUUGCUACGUGGUCACAAGGUUUUUUCAGAAUCGAUAGGCGCUUUUGCUCACCUGCACCGGUUACGCUCUGCAGAUUCUUGCGCGACAUUUCAGUACAGUUCAGUCUUCAGCAAACGCUGUCUCGAGUCCGGUGUACAGAUUCCGUUCGCGCGACCGCGUGGGCAUAGUGUGCAAUUUUGAGUAACUUUGGUAUCUUGUUAGUUACACUAUCGACUGUGUCUUGACUGGGUUUUCACGUGUCUGGCAGAGGAUAAGACGACAGGAAUACAAAGGAGGUCCUCUGCGAUUUCUACGGCGUAAUAAAAUAAGUAAAAGUAAGUCGCACGAUGAAACAUGUGACGCCACUGUAGCGAAAGGAGACGUCGAUACGCGUUACCGCGACCGUUCCGUGCUGUCGCUAAUUAGCGUUGGAUAUAAUUAACGCUCGACGCAGAUAAAUCUGUUUGAAAGCAGCCUUGGCUGAAGCGGACCACCCUGUAAUGUAACAGAUCGUGAGUAUCGAGGCCACGAGGCGAGCGUACGCGCUUAUAGUAACCACCCACACGGCCGCAGGACUUGUUUUUCCCACGUGAAACGGCAAAUCAUUUCGAGAUUUUCUCGAGCGGCAAAUCCGCGAUGAGACCUCCGCCGAUUCUCACAAUGGCCGAGCACGCGAGUCGACCGUGGAUCCCGUUUACGGAUACCCACGACUCCGCGUGAAAAGAUCAUAUCGCGUAUAAACAAUCAAUCUGUGUACGUGUCGUGCGUGCGUGUGUUUGUGCAUAAUAUCUCUCUUGCACGUAUCAUUACGCCGAUCUCGCCGAUCGGUGUAGUAUUCUAAAUGUUACGCGCGCUCCGAAAAGAGAGACAGACAGACAGAGAGAGAGAGAGAGAGAGAGAGAGGAGAGAGAGAGAGAGGGAGAGGGAGAGAGAGAGAGAGGGAGAGAGAGAGAUGGUGAAGACGAGAGAUAAAAAUCUUCGCUAUGCAUUUUACACACAUGCCCGCACGCGUCACGUCGGUGUUUUUCUCCCUAGUUGCCUAAUUGACAACAUUCCUGCAUUUCGGACCCACUCGCGUCGCGUUAUCCGCCCACGAGAUUUCUUUCUUUCCAUCUUCUGCGAAUGGGCCGAUCACGCCCCGUCGCAGUAGUUUGUCAAUGAUGCACUAAAAACCACACAAGCCGCCCUCUUAUCAGUCUACCUCCCGGCGAAGGGCUCGAUCACCGGGUCUCCGCGUCCCGAAAGGCGUAGAUAGCGGAAACACGAAGGCUCCACUCACCGCCUGCCCUCUAAUCUUCGUCGUCCGAAUGGUUAAGUGGGUUUUCGAGUUCGGGAAUGUCCCGGUCCCGAGCAAGUCUCUUAUACACCUCGGAGAGAACGCUAGUCGUUAGUUCCCUCCUUAUUUUCUUUUUAUCGUGACUCGAAUGGGCCGUAUAGCGCCGCGGCUUCCAGGAUGCGCGACCACUUCUUCGCGUUUCACGCGAAGGCGAUAAAGGCCGUAGGGACCGAAGGGCCCUUUUCGGGGCCUGAUUCAGAUUCUUACGUGCACGCGUAUCGUGGAAAUGUAACCGCGGCGUUUUUAUAAUCGCCAAAUGCACCGGCGAUGAGACAGAGGACCGAUUUAAGAGCGGGCCAUUAAAAGCAGAGGAUAAUUCGCUUAUCCCAGAUAGGUAUUAUUUUAUACGAUAGCGCACGACUAUACAUUACGAUAGCCAGCGGGAGGAACUGUGCUGCCUCGGGUCGUAAAUAACGGGCCGAAGGAGAUGGCGGAUAUUGAUCUUUUUUUCGCGAGAAAACGCGCGCGGGAAGAAUCGAUAAGCUGCCUUACAUCAGUCGGUCGUUGUUGAUCUCACGUCGAAUAUACACACACGGAUAUAUUAAAUCGAGUUUUAUCUUUAUUUUAUUACGUUUAUCUUUCCUUUCGCGCGAAGAUUAAUUCAUUGGAAACAGAAAGAAAGAAAGGAAGAAAGAAAGAAAGAACAGAGAGUUAUUUGCACGACGAGGAUCCGAUAUUUUACGAAGUCGCAUUAGGUAAACGAUGGAACGUUGAUGAUGCGACAUCAAUAUACGUUGAACGUCAACAGCGAACACCGCGAACACGGCCCCGCUGCUGUCUGCGGUUACAUUCAAAUGUAAAUUCAUUCGAGCCUACCAGAAAUCUCAAUGUCAUUGUCCCGUCUGAGGCCGACUGAGAGGAAGAGAGGAGAGAAAGAGAUAUCGAUCUCUCGGUCUAUGAUCCAAUUGAUCGUCGCGAACCUACGAGACCUCGGCUCGUAAUUGAUUCUUUCGACCAUUGUGCCGCUAACGAUCGUUUUAGUUCCACACGUUACGUGUCAAAGGAUUGUUUCCCAUCGCAUCGUUCACGGUUCCUGAUCCCCGUUGGACACAUCCGAAUAAGCCCGCAGGCUGUCGAGGUCCGGUUUUCAGCGAAGUCGAGUCCACAGCGCGAUGCGCGUCGAAUCGAUUUUUGAUUGCGAUUUAUACGCAGGAAGCGAAUCAACGGCCACGGUACCGCGACGAAUCCUCUUUCAAACCCUCGCGUGUCUAUCUCUCGUGAGAAGUACUAGCAGCAAAUUGCAAACACGCCCGUUUGAAUAGCCGCGGACAAGGUAGAACUGUGCAAAUUACACAUCGGAAUGAAAUUAAUUUAAUUAAUUUAAUUAAUUUCUCGUCGAAAUUAUGCACUACGCGACUAAUUAAGUCGAUCAAUUUUCCACGUAAUUUACACGAUUGGGUCAAUCAAAUUGACGGAAUAAGUUCUGAUGUUCCGGUUAAUCCGGUUGAUAAUUCGAUUAACAUUAAAGUAAAAGAGAAAUUUUAAUCGAAACGUUCCGUGUUGUAGGUUCCUAAGGAGCAAUCGUUAUACAAUGGACAGUGUAAAUUAAUUGUGAACGCGAUGCUGAGUCUUAAUUACAUUGUGAUUCCGUGGGAUAAUUGUGGUCUUUCCUUCAACGGGAAUCGAGUGAAUGCAAAUGAACGAAUGCACAUAGGAAUUACUGGAUACCGCGGGGGAGGUCCCAGAAGAGCCACGUCAGC
rnacentral:misc_RNA from 1 species